rnacentral:rRNA from 1 species
GACGGAGGGGGCUAGCGUUGUUCGGAAUUACUGGGCGUAAAGGGCAUGUAGGCGGUUUUGUAAGUUAGACGUGAAAGCCCUGAGCUUAACUUAGGAAUUGCGUAUAAGACUGCAAGACUAGAGUACGGGAGAGGAUAAGGGAAUUUCCAGUGUAGAGGUGAAAUUCGUAGAUAUUGGAAGGAACACCAGUUGCGAAGGCGCUUAUCUGGCCCGUUACAGACGCUAAGAUGCGAAAGCGUGGGGAGCAAACAGG